CUCUGGGUGGGAGAUGUAAAGAAUGCUGAUCAUAGAAGAAGAAAAAAAAACCCAAAAUCCAAGAGGCCAAGUUUUACAGUGUUAAGAAUGCGUCACAGAUUGUGAGGUGCUGGAAUCUGGCUGCUCCACCCUCCUUUUUGGAUGGGGUCCCCCAGUCCAUGGCUGCCUUUCCAGUUCAGUAACAACAAUCUCACCCUAUGCAUGAGGCCCCCUCCCCUGCCUGUCACCUGGACACUUCUCACAUAGGGUCACUGUGGCAUCUGAAACAAGGCGUUACAGCCAUGCAACAGUUAUCAUUGGAGAACUGAGAACAGUAAACGAUGUUUCAUCCACUAACAAUUCCUUUUAUUAAGAAGGUUUAGGACACUGUCCAUAGCUUACAUCAUGCUUCCACUGGACAGCAAGGCAAUGUGGCUACUGCACGUCUGCCACAGUUUCCUCAUUUGUAGAAUGAAAGUAAGGAAACAAAUCUCUUCCUUCAAUGGUUAUGGUCUGUCCACAAAGUUCAGCCCCUCCCACAACAGCCCCUCUCUCACUUUUAGCCUGGGCAGGUGGCAUCCUGAGACAGAAGCCCUGUCUUGAGCCCUCAAGCCAGUCACCUGGAAGCUCCGAGGAGUAUCCUGGAAUCAGAGUGCACCAGUGGAGUUGAGAUUUCUCAAGCCUGGACCCCUGGAAAACAGUCAGGCCCUCAAUAGGGGCCACAGGAUGAAGGCAACACUGAAUUCUGCCACCUGCUGAGCUAGGUGACCUUGGAUAGAGGCUUUGACCCCAAGUCUCAGUUUCCUUACCUAUAAAUAAAGUGAGGGUUGGUCCUCUCUCCUGGAUAGCCAGUGUGUGGUUUGGAUGGUUCUGAUGACUUGGUCACUACUUCCUACUUUGUUGUGAAUAGGAAGCCAUGACCAAAGUGUGUGGGAAGUGUUAGGUUACAGACUGGCUCUCAGAAAUCAGGACGCCCCUCCUUCAUUCUCUCUCCCCAGGGAAGAGAUUUGAUAAGCAAAGCUUCUAUGGCCUUGUAGGCAGCUUCCUGUAACCCAGAGAUCUUCCCCCAUGUCCAUCCCCAAAAUAACUUUGAAUUUAAAAUUAUCUAGUGCUUCCUGCCUGGAGAUGCACAUGGUAUGAAACUUCCCCUCCUGACCCCCAGAAAAUCUAUAUGAAUAAGAUACCCCUUUGUUCUCUAGAAUCAAAGGCCCUGUCCCUUCAGGGCUUUCAUCAUGCUAUCUGUGAUGGUCAUCUGUCUUCAUGAAGGACUUCUUCAGACUUGAAACCUUGCUCUCCCACAUCAGGGCCUCAUUGUAUUGCCAAUGAUAUAACUCACCUGAGCAAGGCCCUGAAGGGUGAUUCAUCUCAGCUCCUAUCCAGUGAACCAGUGAGCUGAGCUAUAACAGGAAGCUGAAUAGGUUUGAC
rnacentral:lncRNA from 1 species